UACGGGGGGGGGCAAGCGUUGUUCGGAAUUACUGGGCGUAAAGCGCGCGUAGGCGGCUUUUCAAGUCGAUUGUGAAAUCCCCGGGCUUAACCUGGGAACUGCAGUCGAGACUGUCUAGCUAGAGUAUGGGAGAGGGAAGUGGAAUUUCAGGUGUAGCGGUGAAAUGCGUAGAUAUCUGAAGGAACAUCAGUGGCGAAAGCGACUUCCUGGACCAAUACUGACGCUCAUGUGCGAAAGCGUGGGGAGCAAACGGG
rnacentral:rRNA from 1 species